CUCCACGUCAUCCUAAGAAACCGUCCUGAGCAAGCAGUUGAGGCUACGCCAGCUAAGGAUCCGGUGGAAGCCGAUUCAUCUCUUCUGAUCUGAGAAAGAACCAUGGGAAGCAAAGGAUCAAAAUAGCCAGACCUGGAGGAAAAAUUCCCGAGGACUACCUCAUGUAAGCAAGGAGCAUCAAGAAGGCGAGUUCCUCUAGGUAUGAAAAUCUCUGGAUCUUUCUCUUCUCUAAUCUAAAAUUGUAAUAAUUAUUAGAUUAUUUCAACUUGCAUGACAAAGGGUCUGUUGGCACGACUGAAGAAUCAUUGGAAAUGAAAACUCUUACUUAGAUAUGUGAAGUCAUGCCUCAUGCCUGAAGCACAUUCAACAAAAAGAUAAGAUGCUCCGGGGGAUCAAUCACAGCGAUUUCCUUGACAAACGACACAUGAGCUGAAUUUUUCAGCAACAAUAAAACUGUUAAACACCUCGGCUAGCAACAGGAAAAGGAGCAAUGCAAUGCAAAGUGAUUACAUGGACAGUGCAAUAGUAGAGGAGCAUAGUAACAAAUGUGUUGUAUUAAGCUACAGCUUCACUGGGCUCUGCUCAGCGUAAAGAGUAAUUGCAUUUCUGGGAUGGUAGCUUAGCUCCAUUCCUACAAGAAGGAACGGCUACAAUUCUACAAGCACGAUGACACUCUGGAUCGAGGCGGCUGCCCGAAUCUAAUUCCAGAGAAGAAACCCAUCAAUUAAUAGUCAUUUACAAACUGAAAAUUACUGUAUGAUAGUGCAAGCAGAUCUCAGUUUCAAAAUGGAAAAUACACUUCUCAGUUUUACAAACUGAAAAUUAUGACAGUACAAACUGAAAAUACACCAACGUUGACCGUGCCUACUCCAACCUUGUACAGGUAUAUACGACGGUCCAUUUUUAGCAGUCAUAUGAUUUUGCGCACUGUACAUAAAAAUCUGUACAAACUGCGCCAGAAUAAAAGUUUCUGAAAAAGGAACUCUAAAUAUUUCUGCAGCUUUCUGCAGUUUCAGAUUUCUACAGUUUUAUCAUCUCUGAAGAUAAGUUGCAGAAAGCAAGCAAAUAGGGAAAAGGGCGAUACCUUCCGUGCUUGGCACAGCGUCUCUGGCACAAUGGUGGGAGGGGAGCAACGGUGGAAGAAGCAGAGCCGGACGAGUGGUGGUCUUCCGUCCAACCAACCAACAGAGUGGAGGGAGGGGAAGAGAGAGGAGGGACCCUCCAUGACGAGCUCCAGGCCUUCCAUGGCGGACCUCCAUGUCCAUAUACCUGUCAGUGGAGAAGACCAGACCGUAGCUGCUGCUGUCGGUGAACCUUCCAAGGCGUCGUCCUGCUCCUGGUCAUGGUGGCCCUUCCAUGGCGUCGUCCUGGUAAUGGAGACGGGGUCAGAGAGGGAGAAGAGACGGGGGUGGGUGAAUCAAAUCAAGUCCAGAUGAGCAACAGCGAGGGAGCUAGGAAGGGGUGACGUACCGCACGGCGUUGGAGUGGAGGAAAGCCAUUGCAGAUCGAGCCGACGCACUCGAAAUCAGCCACCGAAGAAUAAAAAUUUGAUCUUGGCGACGGCGACGGAGCCAAUGGAGAGGUGCCGGCGACGCGGGCGAGGGAGAGGCUCCGGCGACGCGAGCUGGGGAGAGGCGCCGGCGACGCAAGCGAGGGAUUCGGCUGAGCGAGACGAAGAGUGGGUGAGUGAGCGAAAGAGUGGACGAGGUGGGAGGGUAGUUUAGGAAAAAGCAAAAACAAUUGUAUGUGGCGAACUUUGUACUAGAAACUCCUAGCAGAAAUAUAUCUGUACAGGGAGAGUAUAAAAUAUCAUUUGUAUAUGUUUA